rnacentral:snRNA from 1 species
GUGCUUGCUUCGGCAGCACAUAUACUGAAAUUGGAAUGAUACAGAGAAAAUUAGCUGGGCCCUGCACAAGGAUGACACACAAAUUCGUGAAUUCCAUAUUUUU